GUGCCUAUUACAUGCAAGUUCGAGCGCGGGGAAGCGAGCGGCAUCCCCUUCGGGGGUGAAGCUCGUGGGAACGAGCGGCGGACGGGUUGAGUAACACGUGGGACAACCUACCUGUAAGAUCGGAAUAACCCCGGGUAAACCGGGGCUAAUGCCGGGUAAUACUUUUCUUCGCAUGAAGGAAAGUUGAAAGAUGGCCUCUGGCUAUCACUUACAGAUGGGCCCGCGGCGCAUUAGCUAGUUGGUGAGGKAACGGCUCACCAAGGCAACGAUGCGUAGCCGACCUGAGAGGGUGAUCGGCCACACUGGGACUGAGACACGGCCCAGACUCCUACGGGAGGCAGCAGUAGGGAAUCUUCCGCAAUGGACGAAAGUCUGACGGAGCAACGCCGCGUGAACGAUGAAGGUCUUCGGAUCGUAAAGUUCUGUUGUUAGGGAAGAACAAGUGCCGUGCGAAUAGAGCGGCACCUUGACGGUACCUAACGAGGAAGCCCCGGCUAACUACGUGCCAGCAGCCGCGGUAAUACGUAGGGGGCAAGCGUUGUCCGGAAUUAUUGGGCGUAAAGCGCGCGCAGGCGGUUCCUUAAGUCUGAUGUGAAAGCCCACGGCUCAACCGUGGAGGGUCAUUGGAAACUGGGGAACUUGAGGACAGAAGAGGAGAGUGGAAUUCCACGUGUAGCGGUGAAAUGCGUAGAUAUGUGGAGGAACACCAGUGGCGAAGGCGACUCUCUGGUCUGUUUCUGACGCUGAGGUGCGAAAGCGUGGGUAGCAAACAGGAUUAGAUACCCUGGUAGUCCACGCCGUAAACGAUGAGUGCUAGGUGUUAGGGGGCUUCCACCCCUUAGNGGUGAAGUUAACGCAUUAAGCACUCCGCCUGGGGAGUACGGCCGCAAGGCUGAAACUCAAAGGAAUUGAUCGGGGGCCCGCACAAGCGGUGAGCAUUG
rnacentral:rRNA from 1 species